AUGGAAACACCCUUCUAUGGUGAUGAGGCGCUGAGCGGCCUGGGCGGCGGUGGCAGUGGCAGCGGCAGCAGCUUCGCGUCCCCGGGCCGCCUGUUCCCCGGGGCGUCCCGACGGCGGCGGCCGGCAGCAUGAUGAAGAAGGACGCGCUGACGCUGAGCCUGAGCGAGCAGGUGGCCGGCGGCGUUCAAGCUGGGGGCCGCGCCGCCUCCGGCGCGCCCAGCACCGCACCCCCCGACGGCCUGCUCGCCUCCCCAGACCUGGGGCUGCUCAAGCUCGCCUCCCCGGAGCUCGAGCGCCUCAUCAUCCAGUCCAACGGGCUGGUCACCACCACGCCGACCAGCACGCAGUUCCUCUACCCCAAGGUGGCGGCCAGCGAGGAGCAGGAGUUCGCCGAGGGCCUUGUCAAGGCCCUGGAGGAUUUGCACAAGCAGAACCAGCACGGCACGGGCGCGGCCGCGCGCCCGCGCGCUGCCGCGCCGCGGGGCCCUCGGGCACGGCCGCGGGCUCCGCGCCCUCCGGCGAGCUGGCCGCCGCGCCCGAGGCGCCCGUCUACGUGAACCUGAGCAGCUACGCGGGCGGCGACGGUCGCCUUCGCCGCCGAGCCCAUGCCCUUCCCGCCUCCGCUGCCACCCCCGGGCGCGCUGGGGCCGCCCCCUGGCCGCGCUCAAGGAUGAGCCACAGACGGUGCCCGACGUGCCGAGCUUUGGCGAGAGCCCGCCGCUGUCGCCCAUCGACAUGGACACGCAGGAUCGCAUCAAGGCGGAGCGCAAGCGGCUGCGCAAUCGCAUCGCCGCCUCCAAGUGCCGCAAGCGCAAGCUGGAGCGCAUCUCGCGCCUCGAGGAGAAAGUGAAGACGCUCAAGAGCCAGAACACGGAGCUGGCUUCCACGGCGAGCCUGCUGCGCGAGCAGGUGGCGCAGCUCAAGCAGAAAGUCCCCAGUCACGUCAACACCGGCUGCCAGCUGCUGCCCCAGCACCAGCUGCCCGCGUACUGA